UACGUAGGGUGCAAGCGUUGUCCGGAAUUAUUGGGCGUAAAGAGCUCGUAGGCGGUUUGUUGCGUCGGCUGUGAAAUCCCGAGGCUCAACCUCGGGUCUGCAGUCGAUACGAGCAAACUAGAGUGUUGCAGGGGAGACUGGAAUUCCUGGUGUAGCGGUGAAAUGCGCAGAUAUCAGGAGGAACACCGGUGGCGAAGGCGCCUGUCUGGCCCAAUACUGACGCUGAGGCGCGAAAGCUAGGGGAGCAAACGGG
rnacentral:rRNA from 1 species